rnacentral:lncRNA from 10 species
CCUAUUCUAGGUAGGGCAGCCACAAAGGGCCAGACAUGUAAGCUGAGGCUGUUGGUAGAGCUCAGGGAAGAGCAACCCAAGGUGAAGACACAAGGUGUGUACAAUUCUGGGCAUACCUCAACAACGGAAAGACUAGUGAAGCUGGCCCAGGAAUGGGGAACCGAACUGGCAGAUACAAGAUCAGGUGGGCCUGGUGAGGUAGCAAAGGCCAUUCCUCCUCCAUUGUGCUGUGUUCAAGAAAACUGCAGAGUUAAGAAAGAACAAGGAUCAUCAAUCAGGACUUCUGGGACUUUCAUUUUUAACCAGAGUUGAAAACACAGGGGCUUGGAGACCUUUCUGGUAACCCUUUAAACUGAAGUCAAAGGGUUCAAAAAGAAAAGGAAAGUCUAUGAAAUAUAUACCGAAGGCAGCUCAACACUGGACAAGUAAAAUUCUUUGACUAAGAUGCAGAAAGUGAUGUCUUCUGGCUUUCAAGUUUUAAAACCUGUAUGCCCUUGAUCCUAGGUAAAGAAGACUGCUGCUCUGCAC